rnacentral:rRNA from 1 species
UACAGAGGUCCCGAGCGUUGUUCGGAUUCACUGGGCGUAAAGCGCACGUAGGCGGAUCGAUCAGUCAGGGGUGAAAUCCCAGGGCUCAACCCUGGAACUGCCUUUGAUACUGUCGAUCUGGAGUAUGGAAGAGGUGAGUGGAAUUCCGAGUGUAGAGGUGAAAUUCGUAGAUAUUCGGAGGAACACCAGUGGCGAAGGCGGCUCACUGGUCCAUUACUGACGCUGAGGUGCGAAAGCGUGGGGAGCAAACAGG